rnacentral:misc_RNA from 1 species
CCUCUCUCUCUCUCUCUCUCAAAUCAUAUAUAUGCUUAUCGUUUGUAAUUUCGGUUUCUAAGCCUUUCUCUUUGGGAUUCAUCGGUCUUUAGGAUGAUCUAGAGGUACAAGUUCCAUUGUUUUUAUUUUUCUUUUUCCAAUUACUAAUUACAAAGAUUUUGAUCUUACGCUUUUCGGUUUCUAAUUUGUGAUCCUAAGAUCUGUUUUGUAUUUCUUGUUUGUAUGCCUCUUUGGUUCCUGAGAAUCCGGAGGAAUCGAGAAAUGGAAAAGUUUGCUGUUUUACCUUCCUUUUCUGCGCAUUUCUUGUGAAUAAGAGUUUAUUUUAUUAAUACACAAGAUGUGGUGGUUGUGUGUAUCCUUCGAAAUGAAGCAUAUUGCUACUCUUGGGUAUUUCAUAGUGGAGAAUUUAAGCCCUUAAGCUGGGUCUUUUUUUUUUAUGGCUUGCCAUAUCUCUGUUGCUUUCUUUGCUUAUUCACUUUGCUAAUGAAUACUUAGUUUCUGUUUUAAGUGUAAUUUUGGAUGAAUUCUAGCCGAUGGUGAUUGAUCAAGCAGUUGGUUUGGUAUUUUAGGAUUGCCAUGGAAAGGUCAAUGUUUGUUCAAACCUUGUUUAUUGAACUAUAUAAGAGAAGAUGGAAUAUAUUAUGCUUGCAGUGUCGAGAAAGCUUGUGUUACGUUUUGGAUUUCGCUCAACUAGCAAUAUUUGUCUAAUAUGUUCUAUCUUCAUGUGUUUCUUUGUUUUUCAAAGAAGAAGGCUAGUGCUCUUUGCGCGUGUCCCGUUCUCUUCUCCAAUCCUCCACAGAUACUUUAAUAUAUCUGACUUUGAAAGUAGAUUAUUUUAUUUAUUUUUUACCUUAAACAUAUAUACCCAAUGGAGGUCAAGCUAUGGAAUGACAAGCGCGAGAGAGAAAUGUACGAGAACUUUGCUGAGCUCUAUGCCAUAAUCAAAGCCACAGAGAAACUUGAAAAGGCCUAUAUUCGUGACAUCAUCCCCUCAUCUGAGUAUGAAACAGAAUGCCAGAAGCUUAUUGCCCAUUUCAAGACAUUAGCGUCUACUCUGAAAGACAUAGUUCCUAGCAUUGAGCGCUUUGCAGACACAUACAAGAUGGAUUGUCCUGCUGCCAUAAACCGUUUAGUGACCUCUGGGGUGCCUGCCACAGUGGAACACCGGGCUGCUGCAGCUGCCUCAGCAACUACCUCGGCUGCCAUUGUGGCAGAGUGUGUCCAGAACUUUAUUACUGCUAUGGAUUCCUUGAAACUGAAUAUGGUGGCAGUGGAUCAGGUGCACCCAUUGCUCUCAGACCUCUCAGCUUCACUUAAUAAGUUGAGUAUUUUACCACCAGACUUUGAGGGGAAGACAAAGAUGAAAGAGUGGAUUUCUAGGCUUUCUAAGAUGGGGGCAGCAGAUGAGUUGACAGAGCAGCAGGCUCGGCAACUGCACUUUGAUCUCGAGUCCUCAUACAAUUCUUUUAUGGCGGCUUUGCCCAGUGCUGGUACUUGAAUGAUUUUGGUGGCUUGUAAAUAAAUGGGCAAAGUCAUUUGUUUCGGGUUAUUUAAUAGUCUUGUUUGUUGCCGCAACUUGGUAGAACCUCAGUGAUGAGUUAGAAGAAUUACUAAUUUUGUAACAGCUUUUAUACAUUUUGGGAUGGCUGAAGCAUUGAAUUGAGUUUAUUUGUUGUGUUAUGCUGUGUAAAUUGCUUGUACUUCAAUUUAGUAGUAUCUUUAAUAUUCAUUCUUCUUUUUUUUUCAGAAAAAAAAAAUUGUGAAAUGCUCUGUUCAUUCAUAGCACGGUAAUUAACGGAUCGUGUAAUCCAGUUGAUUGGCUGAAAUUUUAUCAAUAUCUAGCUGUG